rnacentral:rRNA from 1 species
CCUAGUACGGCGAGUGAACCGGGAAGAGCUCAAAUUUGAAAUCUGGCGUGCUCAGUGCGUCCGAGUUGUAAUCUAUAGAGUCGUUUUCCGUGCCGGACUGUGUCCAAGUCCCUUGGAACAGGGUAUCAAAGAGGGUGAUAAUCCCGUACUUGACACAAUGACCGGUGCUCUGUGAUACGUCUUCUACGAGUCGAGUUGUUUGGGAAUGCAGCUCAAAAUGGGUGGUGAGUUCCAUCUAAAGCUAAAUAUUGGCGAGAGACCGAUAGCGAACAAGUACCGUGAGGGAAAGAUGAAAAGCACUUUGGAAAGAGAGUUAAACAGUACGUGAAAUUGUUAAAAGGGAAACGAUUGAAGUCAGUCGUGACUGAGAGGCUCAGCCGGUUCUGCCGGUGUAUUCCCCUCAGUCGGGUCAACAUCAGUUUUGUUCGGUGGAUAAGGGCAGUUGGAAGGUGGCACCCUCGGGUGUGUUAUAGCCAGCUGUCGCAUACAUCGGAUGAGACUGAGGAAUGCAGCUCGCCUUUAUGGCCGGGGUUCGCCCACGUUCGAGCUUAGGAUGUUGACAUAAUGGCUUUAAACGACCCGUCUUGA